GUCAGAUUUGUACCCCUUGACUUUGGACUUUCCUGCCUCCAGAACUGUAAGAAACAAGUCUCUGUUCUUUAUAAAUUAGCCAGUCUUAGGGAUUCUGUUAUCUCACAGAAAAUGAGUGAAGACAGCCACAUCACACCAGUCCCUGCUUCACUGCCACCAACUUCAUGAAAUGUGGUCACAUCUUUUCUGACUCUGGCCCUCCUGCCUCCUCCUAAUUAAGACCCUUCUGAUUAUACUGGGUCCAGUUGGAUCAUUUAGAAAAAUCUCCCCAUACCCAAAUCCUUAAUUUAAAUCACAUCUGCAAAAUCUCUUUUGUUAUUACAUAAGGCAACAUAUUCACCAGUGCUAGGAGUCAGGCAUGGACAUCUUGGGGAGGGGACAUUACUUAGUCAAGAUGGGGAUAAAAGAAGGAAACUGGGAUUGGACAGAUAAACUAAGAGAACUUCAACAUCUGCCAACUUUUAUUUCUUUACUUUAAAAAACCUGUCUGAGACAAAUGUGUCAAAUUGUAUUUUUCAGAUUAUGGAUGGUAGGUAUAGUUAUAUUUUCCCUGUACUGUUCUCUAUUAAGUUUUGUUUUUCAAAAUUACAAAAACGAAAAAUAGGGUUAAAAGGGAUUUUUUUUUUGUUCUUAUUUUAUACCUGUGGAAGGUGUCAUAUGUCACUGUGUGAAUCUAUAAGGGAAGAAUCAGUCUUUCUUUUUAAGAAAGAAAACAGGACCUUGAUUUCACAUAUGAAGGGACCUUAGAAAACAGCUGGGACAGUGGUUGUUAAAUUGCUGGAAAAGCCAUGGCUUAGGGCAGUUCUUCAAGGUGUGCUGAAGCUCAGUCCAGGGUCUAGAAACUCUUCUGUCUUAGUCCAGUUGCUGCUGCUAUAACAGAAUACCCCAGGCGAGGUAAAUCAUAAACAAUAGAAGUUUAUUUACCUUAGGUUCUGGAUGCUGGGAAGUCCAAGAUCAAGGGGCUGCAUCUUGCUGUGUGAGAUGAGGGUCUUCUUGCUGCAUCAUAACAUGUGAAAGGGAAAGUGAGCAUAUAUGAGGCAGAAAGAGAGGGCCAGAGGGGGCCAAAUUUAUUAACAACCCCCUCUAUCAACUUGCAUCCACAAACACAUUUCCUGAUAAUGACAUUAAUCCAUUCACAAGGGCCCUUAAUCACCUCUUAAAGGUCCCACCCCUUCAUACCAUCACAGUGGCAGCUGAUGAGUCCUGGAGAGGAUAUUCAAACCAUAGCAUCCUCCUCUUACCCAGCCUUAUCACUCCCACCCUUCCCUCAAUCAAAGCACCUCUGCUUUUACCUGUUUUUUUUUUUAUGUGAGCUCCACAUAAGAUGAUGUUAUUUAAAGCAAUCUUCUGUCAUUUAAAUACAUAGAAACACACACUUUUCAAACUGCUAAUCUAUCUAAGCUUCAUCACUGUGUGAUAAAGGAAUCCGAAUUAAGACAGAUGAAGUGACUUGCCUAAUAUUGAGAUAACAUAAAAGGUGUUGUUAUUGCUUAGUAAAUAUCUUUUCUUGGGGGUUGGAGGCCAGGCUGUUGUUAACCCACAGAGGAAAGCCUUAAGAUCUUCCAGUAACUGGAAUUGUUUUCUCUGAACACGUUUCCUGAAGUCAAGGCAGGGGUGUGGAGAUGAGGAAGGAGGGGGGUGUUUCUUGAGAAGGAGCGGGCCUUUGUUCAUCCUCCUGCCUCCGAUGAAUAAAGAAACUGCUGGAAAAAAAGGACUGUUAGGAAGAGGAGGAUAGAUAACAAAUCUUUACCUUUUAAAAAAAUAGUUUUAAAAAUACUGAUUCCUCAGAGCUCGGGUGAACAGAGGUAGGUUUUCCCCUUGGUGUCCUUUUACUCUCUCUUGUUUUUGUGAAAGCGUACGUUUUCCUAAUUCUGUUCCUUGAGUCUGCUUUUUGUCUGUCUGUCUUUUGUUUUACUUUUGUGUUUAUUUAUUUGAAGUGAAAGGACAGGACUGGGAGUCAUCUCUCUUCAGGCCUAUGUGGCUCUAUCCCAGAGGAGAUUCUCUUUGCCAAGUGUGGAGUGAGCAUUGUAUAGACGUUUGGAGGAUCCGUCAACACAGGAGAGCAACCCCAGAUCCUUGGGGCCUCAAAGCAGAGGGAGGAAUGAGCCAAUCCCAAAACAUCCACUUGGCCAUGUGCCGUGCUAGGUGACCUUUAGUGAGCUGUGGAGAGCCAGCAUUCACUUCUGGAGACUGUCAGUCUGAAGGUAUUGAAAAUUUUUUCAUUGGCACCUGACAAACGACUUGAUUUCUAAGUGAAGAGGUGCACUAAGAUGUUGCCCUCAACAUCUUAGGACUAGUCCUUUGUUGCAGGCAUUUGUAGACUAUUGUGGUUCCUGUUGGUGGCCUGCUCAACUUCUAUUUCUCCUUUCUUCCUUGCAAACAGAAUUCCAAUUUUGUUCAUCUAUUUUUUUUCUUUUGAGGCUCAAAGAUGACCCCAUCCCCAGUUCCAAAGGUAAGUAUUGAUCAAUCUAAUCAGCCAAUUAUGGUAUUUCCACUCUCCUUGCCAAGGAACGGUUAUGUAACACAGCUCUGGCCAAUGGGGCAUGAAGAAAAGUAUUUGGAGUUGGCAGAGCAUCUGGGAAAGAGUCACAGAAAGGGAUGGUCUUUCUCUUGAGUACUGUGUCUAGAUGAAAUUCCUGUAGCCAUUGUACUAUUAGCCUGAGAAUGAAUGUCAACACACUGCGAAGAUAGAACCCAAACUCCUGAGAUGAUCUCCUGGAGCUUUUGAGACACCUGUGGACUAGUAUGUGAUACAAUGAUUUCUUAUUGUUCAAAGUAUUAACUUGAGGGUUCUCUUUCUUGCAUCAGAAAUCAUCCUGAUAUCUCUACAUUAGUUCGUUUACUCUCACUGCUGUCCAGGUGGUAUCUAUUUUCUUUUUAUAGGUUAAGAAAUGCAUUUAAGUUAAUACAGUUAGUAAGCAGUAGAUCCCAAAUUCAAUCCAGUUCUCUGUUCAAGGACAUGGGACCCACCUCUUCCCCUGAGUGCAAGGGCAGAAUUUUGUUCACCAGUGUCUACUAAGUGCCUGUCACGUACUACAUAGUAGCCAUUGAAUGAAUUAGCCCAAUCCCAGCUUUAUUUUAUUACCUUAUACCUUUAAUUUAGAAAUAUCAGUUAACUUCUAUUUCCAGAAAAAAGAUCAGCUUUGCAUUGCUGUCUUCAAAAUACCUAACAAGAGCUGCUCGCGGUGGCGCAUGCCUGUAAUCCCAGCGGCUCCAGAGGCUGAGGCAGGAGGAUCGCAAGUUCAAAGCCAGCCUCAGCAAAAGCAAGGUGCUAAGCAACUCAGUGAGACCCUGUCUCUAAAUAAAAUACAAAAUAGGGCUGGGGAUGUGGCUCAGUGGUCGAAUGCCCCUGAGUUCAAUCCUGGUACCUUCCCCAAGGAAGAUGAAGACAUCCAGGACAUACCGCCAGUGACCCACCUCCUCCAUCCAUGCCCCCUCCUGCCUACACUUACCACCUACUCAGUCCAUUCAAACUAGAAUGAAUUGACUAGUUACAGCUCUCAUUAUCUAAUCAUUUUAUCUUUGAUUAUUCCUGCAUUAACACAGAAGCUUUGGGAAGACACCUCAGAUUCAAACCAAAACAACCAGAUAUCCUGAAAAAAUCCUGUCACUAUCAAGUUCCUAAAAGUACUUGAAAAUAAAAUUUAGGCUUUUAAAAUGCAUUGCAGUAGCACUGUAAUCCCAGUGAUUGGGAGUCCGAGACAGAAGGAUUACAAGUGUGAGGCCAGCUUCAGCAACUUAGUGAGGCCCUAAGCAACUUAUCAAGGUCCUGUAUCAAAAUAAAAAGCCAAAAGGGCUGGGGAUGUGGCUCAGUGGCUAAGUGCCCCAGGGUUCUAGCCCCAGUACCAAACAAUAAAACGAAAUAAAAUGUAUUGCUGAGCUGGUGUGUGUUUUUGUGUUUGCAUGCAUACCCACACAACUAAAAAGCAAGCAAGCAAACAAAAAACCUUAAGUAAUAGCACUGAUUCAGAGAGAUAAGUGAAUGCUAAAGCCAGGGAUACCCUGAGGAGGAAUCUGUCCAUUGCUGGUGACCACAGGGCCCACUGAAGUGAUAGAUAAGAUUGGACAGAUAAGAUGUGUACCCAAAAAGGCAAUCCUCAAUUCAGGUUUGGGGUCCAAAUUCAUUGUACUUGCAUAUUUUUGAAAAACCUCCAGUUAAGAACUUUAUUAAAAUUGCUCUCAGGUAUAUAACAUUUUGGAUGCCUAUAGGGAGCAAAUAUAAAUCUCUCUGGAUGUACACACCAUCCUCAGUCCUCAAAAACUCCAACAGGUAAAGAGCUGAUGAAUAUUAUAGGGAAGAAAAACCUUUUCCUGAACCCUCUUUUGAUUGGUAGCUAAGGCCUACAAAUUAAACCAACAAAAGCCAGAUUAACCACAGAAAACAACAGAGUUUAUUUAUCUGUGCUACACACACAUUAGAACUCGGUGAGGAGUAACUCAAAAGGAGAAAUUAAAAUUUGGGGCUUAUCUAACAUGUUAGCAGGUGCAUAGAAGGGGAAGAAGGUGUCCACAAAAAACAACUGACUAUUUGGAAAGAUAAAUAGAUUUUUAGGAGAACAAAAGGAGAUAAGAAAGCCUGUGAUGAUGUUUAUCUAUGUAGUUAUGUGCGGUCCUCCUGUCUUGUCAACCUAAAUUACACAGUAGAGAGACUGACUCCAGAGCCAAGAGUUUUUUUGGGAAGAGCAGAGCAUUGCAAUGGGAUCCACAUGCUUUGGUGGAUCAUGGGCACAUACAAAGAGAUUGGGGCAAAGGAGAUGCUUUUAAAGACGAGACAGGGGGAGGGAUGGAGGGAGGGAGGGGAAGGAAGGAAGAAAUCCAUGUAAGCUGUUUUGAAAGCCAAACCAUUGGAGUUGAAUGAGCCCGUUGGUGGAAUAGCUUUGUUAGGCAAGUGUCGUUGUACAAGUGCCUAUUUGUAAUACUUGGGUUUUGAGGAAAUCCGUUGCAUGGUUCUUAUCAUAUGCAUACAUGCAUGAAAGCAUCCUGGCUUCAUUUAGUUAGAAUUUGACAUUGGUGACUCCAUUUUGAUAUUGCUAAUUUCCACAGUCCCCUCCAGGGGCAUUAAACUACUACAAGAGUUUGGGGUAGGUUUGAUUCUCCUUUCUGGGGGUAGAUGUGCCUUGAAGAGGAACUUAUAGCAACCUUAUUUCUCAGAAGUGGCUGUUUUUAGUAGGAUAAAGGAAACUUCAAGAAGGCCUGCUUCUUGACUCUGUUAAAUCUUACAUUUAUUCUUCAGCUUGAACUAAGCUUUAUAUCAACUCUAGGGUUCUGUGUGGUUUCCCACACUAUAAAGUCACAGUGGUUGUAAACAAACCAUAAAAUUCAUUAAAACAAAGCACUAUGAGUGAAAGUCAGCAGAAACAAUAAACAGAAACAUCACUUUGCAAAUAUUUCAGAUAUCAGAAUUAUAAGACCAGAAUAUAAAUGAAAUACAUUUAGUAUCUGUGGAAUGAGGAAAGAAGUCUUAGGAGCAGGAAAAAAAAAAAGGGUGAGAAAAUUAAGGUCUUGAACUUGUAUCUUUCUUGAGAGGUACAGUUAACAUAUAUUAGUUAUUAAAAUAAUACAACAGUAUAUAGGAGUCAUAAAGAUUCUAGCAAUGCAAAAUGUAAGGAAAUUUGAAUUUGUAAAUUUGAAAGUUAUUGGAUGAUUCUAGUAGAAAAAUAUGAAGUCUUUAGAGCACACCUUUUAGGAUUAUGUGAUUCUAAACUUUCAUUGCCUUUUAUCUCUUUUAUAGCUCUGUAAAUAGUAGAGAACUGAUAGCAAUGCAAAAAGAUUCUUGUCUAUAAAUGUGCAAAUGAGUUUUGUUCAGUGAAGGGGCAAUAAACCUUUUUCCCACCUUAGAAAAAAGUUUUGCAUUCAUUUCAGUAUUUCUGAUCUGUAAAUGUGUCUUUUGUAUUCCCUUGAAAUCAUUUUAAUAUUGUUAAGUCAGACCAUUUCAUAUGAAGAUGCCUCCAUACUUGGGUCCUUCCAUAAAGAUGAACUUCAACCUCACUUAGUAUGUAACUGAAAGUCUAAUUUAGGUAUAUAUGUAUAUACAUAUUAAUGCUAGGGAUUGAACCCAGCUGAUGCUAGGCAUCAGCUCUACCACUGAACUACACCCCCAGCCCCUAGAGUAUACUUUUGUAACAAGCAGCAGAAUCUCAACCAAUCACAACAGCCAAGCUUCAGUCAAUCACAGGAAGCAGACAGAUCAGACCACAUUCAAAUAAGGCAUAUGUUGAGUUGUAACCCAUCCAGCUGUCACUGUACCUCACUUCCUAUUUCUGACCACAAAAUGUUACUUGACCAUGUUGCAGGUCAGAGUUCUCUGAACCUGUUCUGGUUCUGAGGACCCCUCCUUUCAUCAUUCUUUGCUCAGUUAAAGUCUGUAAAAUGUCGUUUGUUUCAAGUUUUUCUGUUAACAACACGUACCUAAUCCUUUCAUUAAUAACAUGCUUUAAAAAUCCUUAGCAUAUGCUCAUUUUGUAUCUGUAAGAGUCACAGUUUGACCUUUUUAAAAAGUUUGUCCUUUAAUAAGUAGUAUAAAGAAUAAUAAAAAUAACCUGAAGAGUAGAAAGACUCCUUUAUCCUCAAACCUUGGGUAACCCCUAAGGAUCUGGUAUUCCUGGCAGCCAAGUGAUCAAUGAGAGGUCACUGGGAACUCCUGCUAUGUUCAGAGUGUGCUGCCCUCCUCCUGAACAGACUCUAUGGGUUUUCCAAGCCGCUGCUCUCAAGGUUGGCAGUAUGUCCAGCUCUCUUUGGUGCAGGAAUGCCUGGGUUCAAGUCAUGAUUUGCCACUCAAAUCUGAGAGACUUGGGCAAGUCAUUCAAACCUUCUCUGUUUCAAUGUUCUCAUCUAUAAAAAUAAGGGGAAUAAUGCAACCUACUUCAAGGGGUUCAUGGAAAGAUUAAAUGAGUAACAUAUAUAAAUCCCUUGGGACUAGUACCUGGCCUAUUGGUAAAGGAAAGUUUUAGCCAAAGCUAUUAUUUUUUCCUCCUAAUUCUAAUACCUACUAUUAGAAUCGACACUGAUACAUGAAAUCACACAGUCUGCGUGAUCUAGAUGUAACUCCAGCAGAGAUGAUAUUUGGUUAUUUCUAAAUAUUCCUAGAGUUGGUGGCCAGCCCCACUGGGUAUAAAUGGGGGUAGCCCAGUGAAGGAGGCCAUUCACAAACUGAUCUGUGGUGUCUUGAAGCCAAAUAAGGAUGACCUUUGCCUUAUUUAUAGGUUCAAAUUCUUCUAAGGAUGAACGACUACCUGCUGUUUUAGCAAAAGAAAAAUACCCUGAGGACACCCCAGGCUGGAGCUGCCUGUGAACAGCAUCCCUCUUUGAGGUGCCUUCACAAAGCACCUUUCACAUCUCCAGUGUGUACUUCUUGAAAUACCCUGCAUAGUGCCCAGCACAUAGUAGGUGCCUAAUACAUUUGAAACACAACUUUGAACCCACCAGGAAAAUCACUUAUGAAAAAGAUAGCUAUCAUUCUUAUGUUUCUUUAAAGAGCAUUUUCGUACACCUAUUUCUUUAACUGUCACAAUUUAUUUGGUUAUGAGGCAGGAAGGAAAAAAAAUCUUAUUACAUUUUUCCAGGAAACAAAAAUAAAUAAGCUGAGGACCAGGGCACUUGAGUAAAUGGCCCGAGGUUGGUACAGUUAAUAAGUGGAAGGUUUGUGUCUCGAAUUCAGAUUUCAGAUUCCAAAUCCCAGAAGCUUCCCUUGCCUGGGAAAGGAGCUGGGAAACUGUUAGUUCCUCUCUUCCCACCACCCCAGGCAGGCUAAUCAUGGACAGAGCCAUCUUCUAGAGGAUGGUAGCAGAGCUAUCCUUCUGUAAGUAAGUCUCAUUGCCAGAGCUAUGACAAGCCACUCUACAGAGUUGAUAACCAUGGCAGAUGAGCCUCUUGGUGCUUGGUACUGUGCCAGAAGCUAGGGAUGUGAAGAGAAAUAAGACAGGUGCAGGGGUGUUGGUGCACUCCUGGAAAAUGGUAAGGAAGCAACUAUGGCCAGAAUUCAGGCAAAAUGUCAACGAGAACUCAAAAAUAAGGGAAGUUAUAGUGUGAAUAACAUAAGAGACAAUUGCAAAGAAAGCUAUAUUUGACUUCCAAGCCUAUCUGCCUCCUCCCAUUCUCCGUGUCCUUGUUAGAAUGUCUUAUGGCUAGAAAGAUCUUAGAACACCUGGUUGUAUCUUGAAAGAGGUGACACCAAGUAUAGAGGGGAGAUUUUCCCUUAAAGGGCUUCCUUCUUACCGGGAUAGAUGCAGGACUGCUGCGGGGUAUUUGAGGAUGGGGUAUGGGAAAUUAGGAGGGGAGAAUCAUGGUUUCUCAUCUCGGUAGAUGACCCUCAGAGCCUCUUUUGACAUGGCCUUUGUAUCAUACUCUGUGUGUGAAUCUGUGCAUUUAAUGCUGAGAAUUGGAUCAUUCCAUCAUAAGACUGUAAAUCAGAGAGUGAGUGGAGGGAGAUGUCAGAGACUCUCUUGGCAGGAUGAGAGGGAACACCACCACUGCCACUCCCUCCAAUCACAGAGUUCAUCUCCCUUUUCCAAAGGGUCCAGCCUAGGUGGUAUCUUUUUGUUCCACUGGCAGGCAGGGAAUACAUCUUAAGUUAAGGCUCCUAACUACUUGAAAUGAAAAGGAAUUCAUUUUUCAGUAAAGAAGACACGUAGGGACCCCUCUCCACUGCCUAUCUCUUCCCACCCAGUUUCUCCACUACUGACAUCUCUGGGCUAGACCAAUACUUAGGGAUCUGCCCACCAAAGUCCUGGCAGCUGUUCCUCCUGCAGAAAAUUCAGUUCCAUACAAUGUCAGCUGCAUGGCUAGACAGCUCAUGGCUGCCAGAACUCUACCUCCCCUCUUCUCAGAGGGCCAAAGGGUUGAAUGAAGUGAGCACUCCUUCUUGACCACAUCGACUGACCACUAGGCACUGCUGAGCCUAACUUCAUCCUUAUCUCAAACUUAAAGAAAGCUAUAAUGAUCUCUGCUAUACAGAUGGGGAAACUGAGGAUCAGAGAGAGACCAGGGCCUCCCCCAGUUAACAUAGCCAGCAAGCAAUGGGGCCAAAGUUCAAUGCUAAAGCCCAUGCCUUUCCCACCACGUUGUUCGGCCUCCGAGUGUUUUUGGCACCACAAGGAUAAGGAUUUAGUAUUCUGAUACACCAGUGCCAGUGGAGGCAGGGGACAAUUGGGACUUGUUUGCAACCCCUCCCCCUCUUGGGAAAAUAAGUCGGCUUGUCCCCCAGGGUUUCCCAUUCCGUGUAAGGCUGGGCCCUUGUAUUUUAACAAACUCUCCUAGUGAUUUCUGAGGUGAGAUCCUGGUGAAGGGCAAGGGCCGAGGAGCCAUUCAGUCAUGCUGUGUGCUCCACUGGAUUACUGAGUGCCAACCCUCCAAGCACUUUGUGCUCUCGCUUUAUUUAAUCCUCCUGAAAACCCUUUUGGGUUAAAUGACUUUUAUAUUCAGUUUUAAAAUGAGGAGUUUGAGAAAAAUUUCAGUAAACUUUCCAAGAUGCCACAGCUGGAAGCCCACAGACCAGGGCCUUAACACUGGCCAUACAGCACCAGAGAUGGCAGGCUUAGCUGCAUUAGCCCUGCUUCAUUUUAACAGUCUUGUGGAGAAAGUGACUUUUCUCUGGUAAAAUAAAUUAUCUCGUAGGAAUAACUCACUAAGACUGAGGUUGAUAGGAUGUUUUGAGACAAACAAAAAAUUUGACAUUUCCCUCCUCUCCCAUCCCAAAUCAGAAGACACAGGUAAGCCAACACCUAUGUGGAUAGGCACUCACCUGCUCCCCGCACUCCUGGCAUUCAUCUGUUACUUCUUUACUAUCUGAGUCUCCUAUUACUCCCAGACCCCGUAGACUUUUGCUGCCCAGAGUCCCCCAGAAAUAGUGGGUGUGUUAAAAUGAAUCACAAAGAGAAAGAUUAAGAAACAACCCCUUUACUGGGAAGCACUGAUACGGUUUUAGAUUUCAAAAUUUCCCUGAAAAUAGAUCAUUCAGUCAUGCAGAUAAUAAUACAUUAUCUGAAAACACCAAAUACUUGUGCACACUUUAAGCAAAAAAGUUCAUGCAUACUCUGAAGUAUUUGGAGAUGUUGUGAGAAUGUGCUAAUAGAGCCCAGGGUUUAAAAAUCAGAUGUUGAAAGUCCAUCUGACGUGGGUGCUGAGCACCUACUCCACUAAUUUCAAGCUAUGUAUCCUUGGGCAAGUUCAUGGCCUCUCUGUACCUUGAUUUCCUCCUCUACAAAAGGAGAAUGAUACAAUACCUGCCUCAUGGAGAGUCUUUGAGGACCAAGUGAGGAAAUCACUUAGCUCCUCCUUCUGUGGCUCUGGAGGGAAACAGUAACCCUCUGGGGAGAAAUGGGCCCCCUUUCUCUUCUCUGCUUUCCUCCCUCCUCCUGGCAAUGACCUACCUCCUUCCCUCCCACACAAGGACACCUGAUUCAGUGCAGUCUUUUCCUCCUUCAAGGCAUCUAGCCCAAAGGAUUUGCCUCCCCUCCUUGUACGUGGGGAGUUAUGUUCUUGGCUUUGAGACAGAUUUCUUAAAUUGUCUUCCGCAGUUGCAAAUGACUCAGCCGUUGCUUAGGGAUUUAAUUAACCAGCAAUAGGAGCCUUGAAAGAUACAAGCCUCUGAAGACUUUCUCCCUUCCUGGGUUGGCUGUGAGCAGGGUAAGAAUGGAAUAAGUCACCUUCUAGAACUAGAUAAUCCACUAUGGAAGCCACUGGCCAUGUGUAGUAGCUACUGAGCACUUGCAAUAUGGCUGUCCAAAAUAAGAUGUGCCAUAAGCAUAAAAUAUUCGCAGAUUUUGAGAAUUUAUAUGAGAAAGUAAAUAUCUCAAUAAUUUUUAAUGCUUAUUAUAAAAAUAAUAUUUUUGAUAUAUUGAUUUUACUUUUUUAAAUGUAGCUAUUAGACCAUUUAAAAUUAUUAAAUGAUGGUUGGUGCUGUUCUAGAAUAUUAGCAAUUUAAUGAUUUAAUAACAUGCCAACACAUUUUGAAAGUGAUUUUUAACAUGUAUCUAUGUUUUAGUCCGUCUUAUGUUGCUAUAACAGAAUAUGUGAGAUGGUGUAGUUUAUAAAGAAGAGAAAUUUAUUUUCUCACAGUUCUGAAGGCUGGAAAAGCCCAAGAUCAAAGUGCUGGCAUUGGUGAGGUUCUUCCUGCUGCAUUCUCCAGGAAGGGAAAGAGAGGCAAAGAGAGAGGGGUGUGGGGUCGGAGAGAGAAAGAUGAAUUCACUUCCACAAGCUCUUUUUAUAAGGACAUUAAUCCAUUCAUGAGGACAGAACCCUCAUGACCUAAACAUCUUGCUUAAGGUCCCAUUUCACCACACUGUUGCACGGGAGAUCAAGUUUCCAAUACUUGAGUUUCUGGGGGACACAUUCAAACUAUAGUAAUCUACUUUUAUCUUUAUGGAACAGAUAUUGUUACAAACAAUUUUUGGAUGAGGCCCAUUGAUUCAGAGUUUGAACUACCAGUGAACUUCUGUGGCUGGAGCAGAUGGAAGCCGGGAAAUAAUGAGAGGGAAGAACACUGACUUGGGAAAGCAAGAAACCUGGUUCUCAGCCUUGGUCCCUCACUAAAUUGCUGUGUGACCUUGGGCACACAGCUGGACCUCAGAUUCUUAACUUAAAAAAAAUGGAGACGCUAGCUGGAUAAUAAUUUAAGAGUGGGAGAUGAGUAGCCUGGGGAACAAAUAGAGCCACAGAUUUGUUUGUUGUUAUGUGUUUUGGCCACCAUUAUGUUUUUUAAAAUUUUUAUUUGUUUGCUUAUUUAAUCACGUACUUUCAGGGUGGAGACUGUGGCUUCUAUUACUUUCCACAUCUCUGGACUCUCUCUUUACCAUUUCACACUCUUAGCAUUAACCAGCCUCAAAAGACUGGAGGCAUUUGAGUUUGCAAUCCUUGGCUUCGAAUUUUAAGUUCCAGGGAGAUGCUAAUGCUGACCAUUCUUAAUAGUGGCAUAGGAAGAGGUCCUAAGUGGUGGUCACCAAUGUGUUCCAGGACACAUUUUAGUUUCUCCUGCUUAAUCCUCUUUUUGUAAGAUUUUGAAUUUCCAACAAAAACAGCACCAUAUUCUCCUAUAGCAACACAGAAUAUUAAACUAAAGGGAAACUUACAGAUGAGAAAACCAACAGAAACAAGGUAUAUAGUGCUUUUAUACUUGUAUAUGUCAGUGAUUGUUUAUCACUAUCUUGAAAAAUAAAAUUUUAAAAUAAGAUAAAAUACAAUUGUUCUUUAUUCUGUCUUAUUAUUUACUUGCAGUUUCUUGGCAUGAAAACAUUUUCACAUCCAGGUAGAUUUUUUUAAAUAAAAAUUCAAUGAGAUGACUGGUUAGAAAAAGAAAACAGAAUUCCCCUUUCCUUGUGAUUACAUAUAAAACUUGCAACAAAAAAUAGGUAAAUGUAACCCAAGCAAUGAAAGCAAAUAGCUAAAAGAUUUUAAAGCACUGAGAGAAGUCCUUUUUGCAGGGAUAAUAGCAAUUUGGAUGUGAGCUACUGCUUUUGCAUAUUAAAUACAAGUCUUUGUCUCCUCCACCUCAAUAGUGAGAGAAAGCAAAAUCUGAUUUGAUGGGGAAAAAGGAGAAGACCAUAAAUAAAGGGGUGCGUUGUUUCCAUGGGGGACAAUCUUCCUAGUGGCAUUCUGCCCAGAAGCCCUUUCUUCUUGGCUAGACCACAAGGCCAGGAUAAAUUGAGUAACUAGAUGAAUGGUUGAGACUAGAGAGGCUUGGUAGUGACUACGAAGUUGAUCAACACCCUCAGGGCCCAGACUUGAGCUCAGGUGCUGUGAGGUCAGUGUUGUGGUUGCAUAAAUCCACUCAUGGAAACUCCAACAGUGAUUGCUCUCCAGAGAAACUCAAGGUCACUACUAAAGGAGACCCUCCGAAAUGAGCGAUGAGCAAGUCACAGGCACCCUGGAGAUAUCUAAAAAUAUAAUCACUGCUGAGCACUAGUCCCAUAACAGAAGUCUAAACUAACCUGGAGACAGGAGUAACUCCUUGCAAUUUUCCCAGACACAGUGCACAUCACAACCAUGACCUCUACCCCAGGAAGCCCAUGCCCAAAAAGGUGAAAAGAAAAUCUGUUUGUCAUCUAUAGAAAUAUAGAAAGGCAAAUGCUGUGUAGGUCACCCUAGGGAUUUGGGGAGAGUUGGCAAAAUGGCAAAAUCCAAUUCAACCAAGUGAAAUUCAGGAGAUGAAGAAAAUGAAUAGUGAAAUGGUUUGGCAGAUACAGGUUUUCCCAACUUGCUACGAUUAUUUCUUCCUCUACUUAUAUAUUUACUUUCUAGCGAAUCUACUUCCUCUACUUAUAGAUUUCCUUCAGAAAUAUACUCAUCUUUCAAGGUGGACAAAGAAUCCUGCAUCUCCCAAGAUGCUUUCUCUAAUUCUCCAGCUACAGGAAGGCUGCUUUCCCUAUCUGUAUCAUUCAUUUGCUGAUAUGCUUAACUGUGGCCUUGAACUGAUUGUUAAUGCAUUUGUAUGUGCACCUUGCUUUCCAGACUAGGCUACAGGAGCUUCCCACGCAGAGCUGGAUGUGUCACUGUGGCUCAAUGAGCUGAACAGAGAGUCAUCAAGAAGAGCUGAGGAGAGCAGCCUCUUUGGGAGCCAUGACCCUGGGCCUCUCUGCUUCCUCUUCCCAGCAUGCCCUGAGACUCCACUCAUGACUCCUUCCUGGCUCCCUCCUUGUCCAGACUGGAACACCAUUGGGCCCACUUGCUUCUCUCCUCACCAGAGGGUUGAGAGAACCCAAGAGAUGUCUAUCUUUGUAUACAAGAAUUUUUAUCAGAGAAGAGAAUGCAUUAUUAGUCAUCUAUGGGUGUUUAUAAUAGAAAUUACCAUUAUCUAAACUACUAGGAUUUCCUUUGGGGUAAAAAAAAGUCUUUUACUGUGGAAUAGAGCUGAACCUUAAUGAAGGAGGAGGAUGAAGAGAAGGAGGAGAAGGAAAGAGGAGAACAGUUUUCCACAGCCUCUCUCUGGGUAUGGUUACUAGGCAUCUAAGGACUUUUGCCCUUUUUGGGGAAAAACAAAACAAAACAAAACAGAUUUUUAAAAAAAUAUUACUUACAAAAUCCACAAGUUAAAUGCAGUUGGAUCCACAAAACAAGCAUUAAAUAUAAAAAUACAGUCUAUAUCCAACUAUACAUUUAAAAUGGGUAAGAUGGUAAAUUUUAUGGUAUAUAUCUUUUACCACAACUAAAAAAAUUUCUUUUAAAUACAAUCUGUGCAUGAUACCAAGCAUUAAAAUAAGGGUAGCAAGUUGAAAAUGAAAAAUGCAAGAGCACAAAUUUAUGAUGGAAGGGGGGCUAAGCUCUCUCCAUCUACCUGAAGGGUG
rnacentral:lncRNA from 1 species